rnacentral:rRNA from 1 species
GACGUAGGGCGCGAGCGUGUCCGGAUUUAUUGGGCGUAAAGAGCUCGUAGGCGGCUUGUCGCGUCGUCCGUGAAAACCUGCAGCUCAACUGCAGGCUUGCGGUCGAUACGGGCAGGCUAGAGUUCGGUAGGGGAGACUGGAAUUCCUGGUGUGAGCGGUGGAAAUGACGCAGAUAUCAGGAGGAACACCGGUGGCGAAGGCGGGUCUCUGGGCCGAUACUGACGCUGAGGAGCGAAAGCGUGGGAGCGAACAGG